rnacentral:tRNA from 1 species
AGAGGUUUGAAUGAAAUGGUAAGAAUAUGUACGCUCUACGCUUUUUUCCCUGGGACUGUAGUUCAAUUGGUCAGAG